rnacentral:tRNA from 1 species
CGGGUCGUGGCGCAGCUUGGUCAGCGCGCUCGCUUUGGGAGCGAGAUGUCGCGGGUUCGAAUCCCGCCGACCCGACGA